rnacentral:rRNA from 1 species
GUGCAGCAGGCGAGAAACCUCCGCAAUACACGAAAGUGUGGCGGGGCCAUCCCGAGUGCCGUCCGCUGAGGACGGCUUUUCCCCAGUGUACACAGCUGGGGGAAUAAGGAGAGGGCAAGCCUGGUGUCAGCCGCCGCGGUAAUACCAGCUCUCCGAGUGGUGGGGACGCUUAUUGGGCCUAAAGCAUCCGUAGCCGGCUGGGCAAGUCCUCCGUUAAAUCCAACGAUUCAAUCGUUGGGCUGCGGGGGAUACUGUCCAGCUUGGGGGCGGGAGAGGCCGACGGUAUUCCCGGGGUAGGGGUGAAAUCCUAUAAUCCCGGGAGGACCACCAGUGGCGAAGGCUGUCGGCUAGAACGCGCCCGACGGUGAGGGAUGAAAGCUGGGGGAGCGAACCGGAUUAGAUACCCCUGUAGUCCCUGAA